AUGGCGGUGAGGACAAUCUCUGAGAAGACCCUUGAAACUCUCCCAAGCCUGAUACAGAUUCUCCUCUUUUUUCUGCCUGAAUGACAUGAACUCCCUCCUGAGUCU